rnacentral:rRNA from 1 species
UGCGGAGCUACACUGCUGUUAAGCGCCCUUCGGGUGAGCGGCGGACGGGUAUAGUAACGCGUGAGAACGUGCCCUUCUCUACGGAAUAGCCUCUGGAAACGGAGAGUAAUACCGUAUACGCCCUUUGGGGGAAAGAUUAUCGGAGAAGGAUCGGCCCGCGUUAGAUUAGGUAGUUGGUGGGGUAACGGCCUACCAAGCCUACGAUCUAUAGCUGGUUUUAGAGGAUGAUCAGCAACACUGGGACUGAGACACGGCCCAGACUCCUACGGGAGGCAGCAGUGGGGAAUCUUAGACAAUGGGGG